GAGAGCAAAGAAGAGUAAGAACAAGAUGGAAAAAAAAAAUCUCCUAUCAUCAGUAUGUAGCAAAAUUGCCCUAUCAGUUGACGGUAGAGUAAGCCAUUGGAACAAAAAUGUAAACAAAUUGCUAGUGAAGCUUUGUUGCACUUCUAUCCACAUUGAUGUCUUUGAUAAGUUCACCGCAAUAUGCUCCACAAACAAUUAAAUUCAAAUUUGAAACUAGAUUUACAGUAUUAGUUUAAAUUAAUAUGUGCAGCCCUGCAUGCACUAUUUAACAGACAAAUUCACGUUGUCAUCCUUUUUAUCUCAUUAUAUUUGCAGUAGCUUGUUUCAUGUAACACCAGCAGCCACAAGCAAGAGCAACGUAUUCUAUAUGAAUCAAGCAUUCCUACCUGAAGGACACUGCAAAAGAAGACAUUCAUCAUAGAGAACAUUGCAGAUCUUUCCAAAUUUGCUAUCAGCAAAAGCAGCCAAAACUCUUAAAACUUCUAUCCUAUUGUAUUGAAGAGUCGCCUUGAAAGCCAAGGAGAAUAUACUAGUUACAAAAAGUAUGUUCUGUACCGGUCUAUACUGUGGUAAAAGUUUGCCAGUUCUGCAUAGAUACACUUUUAGCAUC
rnacentral:lncRNA from 1 species